UACGUAGGGUGCAAGCGUUGUCCGGAAUUAUUGGGCGUAAAGAGCUCGUAGGCGGUUCGUCGCGUCGGCUGUGAAAACCUGAGGCUCAACCUCAGGCCUGCAGUCGAUACGGGCGGACUUGAGUACUGCAGGGGAGACUGGAAUUCCUGGUGUAGCGGUGAAAUGCGCAGAUAUCAGGAGGAACACCGGUGGCGAAGGCGGGUCUCUGGGUGCCACCUGACACUGCUAGGACGAAAGCGUGGGGAGCGAAUGGG
rnacentral:rRNA from 1 species